rnacentral:rRNA from 1 species
AACGAACGCUGGCGGCAUGCCUAACACAUGCAAGUCGAACGAUGCCUUCGGGCAUAGUGGCGCACGGGUGCGUAACGCGUGGGAAUCUGCCUUUCGGUUCGGAAUAACUCAGGGAAACUUGAGCUAAUACCGGAUAAUGUCGCAAGACCAAAGAUUUAUCACCGAAAGAUGAGCCCGCGUAGGAUUAGCUAGUUGGUGAGGUAAAGGCUCACCAAGGCGACGAUCCUUAGCUGGUCUGAGAGGAUGAUCAACCACACUGGGACUGAGACACGGCCCAGACUCCUACGGGAGGCAGCAGUGGGGAAUAUUGGACAAUGGGCGAAAGCCUGAUCCAGCAAUGCCGCGUGAGUGAUGAAGGCCUUAGGGUUGUAAAGCUCUUUUACCCGGGAAGAUAAUGACGGUACCGGGAGAAUAAGCCCCGGCUAACUCCGUG